GACAACCUCUAUGGACUCUUUUGUACAUUGAGAGAAAAAUUUGUUCCUCCAGUUCUUGCUCAGAAGAUAUUUUCUCAGGUUUUUACGUAUAUCAAUUUGCAACUCUUUAAUAGCCUUCUUCUACGUCGAGAGUGUUGCACUUUCAGCAAUGGGGAAUAUGUGAAGUCUGGUUUGACUGAAUUAGAACUGUGGUGUUGCCAGGAAAAAGAAG